rnacentral:rRNA from 1 species
UACGAAGGGGGCUAGCGUUGCUCGGAAUUACUGGGCGUAAAGGGCGCGUAGGCGGCCUUCUAAGUCGAACGUGAAAUCCCCGGGCUCAACCCGGGAACUGCGUCCGAGACUGGAAGGCUUGAAUCCGGGAGAGGGAUGUGGAAUUCCAGGUGUAGCGGUGAAAUGCGUAGAUAUCUGGAGGAACACCGGUGGCGAAGGCGGGUCUCUGGGCCGUAACUGACGCUGAGGAGCGAAAGCAUGGGGAGCGAACAGG